UAAAUAAAGUUGCUUUUUGUUCUUAGUACAGUUAAAGAGUAUUUAAAUACACACUUCUUUUUACCUGUUAAAACUUGCAGUUGUUGUAAAAAUAGACAUGUACCUUUUUUAUUCAUUAACAGUGUUAAGUCAUUUGUUAUAACUAUUAUUUAGUUUAAGUAUUUGUAAACCACAUUUCUUUAGGGUUUUGAAAAGAUGCAAAAGUUGGUUUUGCAACUUUACAAGGGAUAGUAAUCGUUUUAAGGAAUUUUGUAAUGAACCCUGUAUAUGCAUUACACAAAUCUUGCUCGUCUUUCUAUGAUCAUGUCCCUCCAAGUAGUUUACUUACUACUGUUUUAAGUAGUUUAGAUAAUUCACCACUUGAGCACUUUAACUUCUCAGCUUGCUGUUACAUCCAGCAAGUAUUGAAAAAAAUUAGUAAUAGUGACAGCAAAAUUAAAAAGCAUGGCAUACAAGUUAAAAGUACUAAGACAAAAAUUACAUAAAAAAAACAAAUUGUUAAAGUUUCAAGAGCUGAACUUAGAGAUCUUAAACAAAAUUUGCAAACAUAUUAUUACAGUAAGAUAAUACGCAAUCUUAAAACUUAAAAAAAAAAGGCAAUGAAAAUUUCGGAACUUUAAAAGCUAAAAUAAGUUAAAGUUGUACAUAAUAUUAAGGCAAAUAAAAUACUUAUAGCUAAUUACGAAUAUUUGCUUGCAUAUAUGUAAAGCAGUUGAUCAUCUAACUUUUAUUUAGAUUUUCAUUUAGCAUCUUUUAAUGAUAGUGAUCAAUCGAUCAUCUCAAAUAUAUCAAACGCAAUGUCAGGCAAAGUUGCAAUUAACCAUCUUACCAUAAGCAAACUGUGUGACAUUUAAAAGGGAAAGUUUGAAUGAGCUAAAAUGCCAUUUACACGCUCUUGAUAUAAUUGCUACCUCAUGGCUGGGUAUGAUUGUAUGGCAUUUAAAAUAGUUAGCUAAAAUAAAUGGCUUUGAACAAGUUGAGGUUUAAACAUGGCAAAGGUGAUUUAAAAAGAUUUGUUAGUUUUUAGCUGAUCAAAAACUACCACGAGGUAUCAUUCCAAGGUUGUGGGUAACCAUUACCACCCUAUUUAACAAACUUCUCAACUUAACCAAAAUUUACGAAUAGCAGCGAAAAGACUUUUUUUUCAAAAGUAGGCUCGGUUGUGGUCUUAAUCUUUAGCUUGUAGGUUAUACUUUGUGCAAAAAGCCUAAUUCAGGUUUUAAAUUGUUAACUCAUUUUAAAAUAAUUAUAAUUGUUAUUAUAAAGAUUGAUUUAUUUUACUUAUUAAUUUUUUUAGGUUGGGGGGGGGGGGCACUCGCCCUUCCCACAAGUCAAUAAGCACACCACCAAUAAAUGAAAUUCUUGUAGCAAAAAAAAAAUUUAUGUUUUUUAUACUGUGUACUAGUUUCACUUGUUUUAUUAAAUAUAGAAAUAUUUAUUUAUUUAUAAUUAGAGAAUUAAAUAUUUUUGAAAUUAGGGUGUGUUAAACCAUCACCACCAUAUCCACCACCAACUUUAAUAAACAUCAAUCAUUGAUGGUCUGGAAUAAAAUUAUAGCAAUUUUUUGUAUAAAAAAAUAACCGUU
rnacentral:lncRNA from 1 species